rnacentral:lncRNA from 1 species
CUGCCCACCUCUCCCCAGGGCAGGGAAACCAAAGGCCUGGACACUGUGCCAGACAGGGGUAUGAACAAUGACUGCUUGCCCUGGCAGGAUGGAGAAUGCAACACAGUGAUCAGGACAUCCUCAUGACUGGAUCUGCAGAAGAAGGUCCCAACUGCCCAUCACCGCUGUCCGUGAGAAGAGUGAAUCUCCCAAGGAGAGUGUCUGCUGCAAAUGAGAGGACUGCAGUUCCCAUAAGCUUCUCCAAAGCUUGAUGGAGGUUCCCUGCUAGAUCUUACCCUGAGAUUUAUAUUUCUGCAUAUCUGUAACCCAGGAGGGACAAGGAUGUGAGUCCUAUGUGCAGCUG